rnacentral:rRNA from 1 species
UACGUAGGGGGCAAGCGUUGUCCGGAUUUAUUGGGCGUAAAGAGCUCGUAGGCGGUUGGGCAAGUCACGUGUGAAAUCUCCACGCUCAACGUGGAGGCGCCACGUGAGACUGCCCUGACUCGAGUCCGGUAGGGGAGCGUGGAAUUCCCGGUGUAGCGGUGAAAUGCGCAGAGAUCGGGAGGAACACCUGUGGCGAAAGCGGCUCACUGGACCAUAACUGACGCUGAUGCACGAAAGCUGGGGGAGCAAACAGG